CCCUUAGAUGUCCUGGGCCGCACGCGCGUUACACUGACGAAUGCAACGAGUUUUUCUUUUUUUCCUUUUCCGAUGGGAAUGGGUAAGCUUUUGAAAGUUCGUCGUGAUGGGGAUAGAACCUUGCAAUUAUUGUUCUUGAACGAGGAAUUCCUAGUAAGCGUAGUUCAUCAAACUGCGUUGAUUACGUCCCUGCCCUUUGUACACACCGCCCGUCGCUAGUACCGAUUGAAUGAUCCGGUGAGGAUUCAGGACGGCAGAAUUUUUAGUUUGUCUGAAAGGAUAAGCGGAUUCAGCCGAAAUUUGUUCAAACCGUGUCAUUUAGAGGAACUAAAAGUCGUAACA
rnacentral:rRNA from 1 species